rnacentral:lncRNA from 1 species
UGAGAAACUUUGUGGCUCUCAUUUUAAUAUGGAACCGAACUGUCUACAGCAGCACUGAAGAUGAUGCUGGUUGGUUUCGCAUUCCAAUUGAUAAGGUGGGCGAAAGCCUCUUUCUAAGCAGUCACUCUGGCACGACUCAUGAGUACAACCCGCUAAAUCUCUGCAUGAGCGUCGUUGAAGUACAAUGCAAUACAUCACAUAAUAAAAAAAUAGUAAUACAAUCCAUAAAACAAAAAUAUUUGUUGAUAGAUUAAUUAAUUUCAAUAUUUGGAAACAUCAUGUAAAAUAUAAAUAAUGUUGCUUACUUGCUUGGCAAGACGGCAACGUUGAGAACAUGAAGACAACGACCAAUAAAGCAACAGCUAUGUUGUACAUGAUCAUCCUUGUGUUUCUCUUGAUGAGUUCCAUGAGGAAAAAUGUGACUUAUGUUCGAUCUUUGUUUUUCAUUUCCAAGCUCCUUUACAGGUGUUUAUAUAGACGCACAAUAAAAUCUUAGAUAUCAGUUGGUUAAUUUCAUGCAUUUAUGUACCUCCCCUAAUUAGUAUCAGCAUAUUUUGCUAGUUUUACAUAAAUACCAAAGAUUUUAUUUCACAAAAAAUAUAUGUUUCAUCAUUAUGGCAUUUAAUGUUGAAGAUAGCAUAUUGAGCCAAAAUAAAAUCUUUAGGUAUCGGCACUGCAUUUAUGUCUCCAUUAUAAAAUAGUACCCAUACCGAUCUUGUUGGCUAUUUUGUAUCAUCCACACUUAUGUAAGUAUAUCUUACAUUUAUUUUACAUUAUUGUUUGUGUGGUAUAUAGUUUUAGUAUAUACAGAGGCUUGCACAAUCAAAUCUUAUGCAUUGAUGAAUCUUGCAUAUACUUGAUCUCAAAAAUAAAUAUUGCUGGAGUACUCCAUACUCAUGAAUAUUAGUUAUCAAUAUUGCACUUUUUCUGCUAAAUUAAUGUUGAUGUAUCUUAUUGAAUCUUAAUAAAUAUCAUGCAAUCAUUUGUAUAUGUUAUGAUUAUUGAUAUUUUUUGCGGCAUUUAUUGACCUCUAUUAUAUGGUGGCAUGCAAAAUUAUUGAUAUUGCUUCUUUUCGCUUCAUUUGUAUUAUACAUUGCUAUAAAUUUUGCAUUUAUAUUCAAUCAACAAUAAAUAAAUGCUUGGACAAACGUAAGCUUGUACUUACUGACGAAUAUGCAGCCCGUUAGUAGCAACACCAUUGUAGUAAACAUUUCAGAGUUUUUCCCGUUAUGCUUAUAACCGGCUAUAAUAAUUGAUCUUUAAUGUUUCAUGCUUCAGGGUAUUUAUACAAAUGUCUCCCAUUUUAUUGAACAAAUGGAAGGGCACAACAACCAAGAUCUUUCUUGUGGGUCUUGCAUAAUUGGAAACUGAUUACAUGGUUUCAUGCUUAUGCACAUCUUAUUAUUCCUUAGUUAACGUAGGAUUUGCAGUACUUUAUGCUUGAGUUGAUGUAUGUCAUCUGAAUCAGAAUGGAGCCUGAACCAAAUUGUAUGACUCAUUUUCACUAGGUGCACAUACUGCUGCUCUUCUAUAUGGAAUGUGAUACUGGGGUAUUAAUACUUAGUGUUGCUAUCUCAGAUAUUGCUAAAAAAAAGUCUCCGGUUUUGUAACUUGGUACGCUCGAGUGGUGCAAUACUUUUCAACUAUUUGCACCUUUCAUUUAAAAACAUUGUAACCCAUUGACGCUGAAAAGUGGCACGAUCAUAAAGAGUAGCUUGAACUAUGUCAAGAUUAAUUCAGACUUAUUAUUGAAGUCACUAUGGGAUGGAUCUCUUCCAGAAGAUCAAAAUGGAUAUGAAGAUGGUCUAAAACAGAGCCCCGAUGCAGAAGUUGUGACAAGUUCAAAGAUUGGAUAUAGUAUCGACCCUACUAUCUCGGUAGGCGAACCGGGACUAAAGGCAUUAGGCUUUAGUACCGACCCUAUAGUCCCGGUUCCCGAACCGGGACAAAUGGGCGUUAUGAACCGGGACAAACGGGCCUUUUUCUACUAGUGCAUACUGGACCUACCCAAUAAAUAUUUCAGAAAUUCAUAAUAAUCCUAGAGGCUAGCUUGGACAAUUCACGCAUGUCAAGAGGUGGGACUAAAAUUUAGUCCCACAUUGCUAGUUGAGAGAGAGUUACACCUCCACAUAAGGUGAGCUCUUUCCCCACUUGUAUGAGCAUGAUAAAAAGAGAGAUUCUCACACGCUCCUCCCCUGCCGCCCGCCUUGCCUCAUCACGACACACUGCGUCGCGCCACGGGCUAUGGGAAUGCCUAGAGCAUGCAUGAAGCUGAGGUGUUUUGUUGAUGUAGUUAGUGGAGAUUGGUUACAAGGUUUGUUCGGCUUUGGCUGCUAUGUCUCCGUUUCCUGUCUCUUUGUUUCAUUUCCUGUCACAGCCUAUUUGCCUCCUCUUUCUGUGCUUAUAAAAUAGAGGUAUCUCCUCUCCAUAGACACACAUAAACAGAGCACCACUUGCCUCCUACUACCAUGUUCCAGAGCACUACGCUACCAGGUUCUUCUCCAUCCCGGCUUAUGGCGUGCAUCACCGAUAGGGACAGUAGGCCUCCGGAACCACGCGACAUUGAGUCAUGCACGGGUGAAGGGAAAUAAGGUGUUUGGGGAGCGCUCUGUGCGACUACUGGCUUCUCCACCCCAGAUGUCGCUACAGAUGUUGAAGACACUUUCCCCAAUGAUGACUUCUUUUAGGACAUCGGCAACCUCUUCGGUAACAAGGGAAAUAACAUCACGAAUGGCGCCGCCCCUGCUCCUGUCUAGGACAUGUUCACUUCUCCUCUAUUUAAUAUGUUUUUAUCCUAAUUUUAGUUCAAUUUCAUGUUCUAGCAAUUGGACUACAUAUGCCAUGUUCAAAUUCACUACUACAUAUGUUAUUUUCUCACUCUCUGAUAGACUACAUGUCUAGUUUAAUCUUUACUAUUAUGGUCAUGUUUUAUCUACUAUUUUUAUGGAUUAAAUCACAUGGUAAACUGCUCAUAUUUCCAACACGCCCCAUGUACAUGUAUGGGUGUAACAAACACAUCCUAUGAGGCCAGUCUCCCUUCAUCAAAAUGUUCCAUGGCAAUCCAAUGAGAUUGAUGCCUCUAAUACCUAUGUUUAUCAGAAAAUAUAAGUUUAUUCAAUUAUUGGCAUCAGUAUACAGCAUUGCAUUGCAUAAGCUAAGAAACUUUGUGGCUCUCAUUUUAAUAUGGAACCGAACUGUCUACAGCAGCACUGAAGAUGAUGCUGGUUGGUUUCGCAUUCCAAUUGAUAAGGUGGGCGAAAGCCUCUUUCUAAGCAGUCACUCUGGCAAGACUCAUGAGUGCAACCCACUAAAUCUCUGCAUGAGCGUCGUUGAACUACAAUGCAAUACAUCACAUAAUAAAAAAAUUAGUAAUACAGUCUAUAAAACAAAAAUAUUUGCUCAUAGAUUAAUUAAUUUCAACAUUUGGAAACAACAUGUAAAAUAUAAAUAAUGUUGCUUACUUGCUUGGCAGGACGGCAACGUUGAGAACAUGAACACAAUGACCAAUAAGGCAACAGCUAUGUUGUACAUGACAAUCCUUGUGUUUCUCUUGAUGAGGUGCCAUGAGGAAAAAUGUGACUUAUGUUCGAUCUUUGUUUUUCAUUUCCAUGCUCCUUUACAGGUGUUUAUAUAGACGCACAAUAAAAUCUUAGAUAUCAAUUGGUUGAUUUCAUGCAUUUAUGUACCUUCCCUAAUUAGUAUCAGCGUAUCUUGCUAGUUUUACAUAAAUACCAAAGAUUUUAUUUUGGAAAAAUAUAUAUAUUUCAUCAUUAUAGCAUUUAAUGUUGAAGAUAACAUAUUGAGCCAAAAUAAAAUCUUUAGGUAUCGGCACUACAUUUAUGUCUCCAUUAUAAAAUAGUACCCAUACCAAUCUUGUUGGCUAUUUUGUAUCAUCCACACUUAUGUAAGUAUAUCUUACAUUUAUUUUACAUUAUUUUUUGUGUGGUAUAUUGUUUUAGUAUAUACAGAGGCUUGCACAAUCAAAUCUUAUGCAUUGAUGAACCUUGCAUAUACAAGAUCUCAAAAAUAUAUAUUGCUGGAGUACUCCAUACUCAUGAAUAUUAGGUAUCAAUAUUGCACUUUUUCUGCUAAAUUAAUGUUGAUGUAUCUUACUGAAUCUUUAUAAAUAUCAUGCAAUCGUUUGUAUAUGUUAUAAUUAUUGAUAUUGUUUUUUGCGGCAUUUAUUGACCUCUAUUAUAUGGUGGCAUGUAUAAUUAUUGAUAUUGCUUAUUUUCGCUUCAUUUGUAUUAUACAUUGUUAUAAAUUUUGCACUUAUAUUCUAUCAACAAUAAAUAAAUGCUUGGACAAACGUAAGCUUGUACUUACUGACGAAUAUGCAGCCCGUCAGUAGCAACACCAUUGUAGUAAACAUUUCAGAGUUUUUCCCGUUAUGCUUAUAACCGGCUAUAAUAAUUGAUCUUUAAUGUUUCAUGCUUCAGGGUAUUAUACAAAUGUCUCCCAUUUUAUUGAACAAAUGCAAGGGCACAACAACCAAGAUCUUUCUUGUGGGUCUUGCAUAAUUGUAAACUGAUUACAUGGUUUCAUGCUUAUGCACAUCUUAUUAUUCCUUAGUUAAAGUAGGAUUUGUAGUACUUUAUGCUUGAGUUGAUGUAUGUCAUCUGAAGUAGAAUGGAGCCUGAACCAAGUUGUAUGACUUAUGUUCACUAGGUGCACAUACUGCUGCUCUUCUAUAUGGAAUGUGAUACUGGGGUAUUAAUACUUAGUGUUGCUAUCUCAGAUAUUGCUAAAAAAAUCUCCGGUUUUGUAACUUGGUACGCUUGAGUGGUGCAAUACUUUUCAACUAUUUGCAUCUUUAAUUUAAAAACAUUGUAACCCGUUGACGCUGAAAAGUGGCACGAUCAUAAAGAGUACCUUGAACUAUGUCAAGAUUAAUUCAGACUUAUUAUUGAAGUCACUAUGGGAUGGAUCUCUUCCAGAAGAUCAAAAUGGAUAUGAAGAUGGUCUAAAACAGAGCCCCGAUGCAAAAGUUGUGACAAGUUCAAAGAUUGGAUAUAGUAUUGACCCUAUAGUCUCGGUAGCCGAACCGGGACUAAAGGUAUUGGGCUUUAGUACCGACCCUAUAGUCCCGGUUCCCGAACCGGGAGAAGUGGGCCUUAUGAACCGGGACAAAUGGGACUUUUUCUACUAGUGCAUAUUGGACCUGCCCAAUAAAUAUUUCAGAAAUACAUAAUAAUCCUAGAGGCUAGUUUGGACCAUUCACGCAUGUCAAGAGGUGGGACUAAAAUUUAGUCCCACAUUGCUAGUUGAGAGAGAGUUACACCUCCACAUAAGGUGAGCUCUUUCCCCACUUUUAUGAGCAUGAUAAAAAGAGAGGUUCUCACACGCUCCUCCUUUGCCGCCCUUCUCGCCUCGCCUCGCCUCAUCACGACACACUGUGUCGCGCCACGGGCUGUGGGAAUGCCUAGAGCAUGCAUGAAGCUGAAGCGUUUUGCUGAUGUAGUUAGUGGAGAUUGGUUACGAGUUUUGUUCGGCUUUGGCUGCUACAUCUCCGUCUCCCGUCUCUUUGUUUCAUUUCCCGUCGCAGCCUACUGGCCUCCUCUUUCUGUGCUUAUAAAAUAGAGGUCUCUCCUCUCCAUAGACACACAGAAACAGAGCACCACUUGCCUCCUACUACCAAGUUCCAGAGCACUACGCUACCAGGUUCUUCCCCAUCCCGGCUUAUGGUGUGCACCGCCGAUAGGGACAGUAGGCCUCCAGAACCACGCGACAUUGAGUCAUGCACGGGUGAAGGGAAAUAAGGUGUUUGGGGAGCGCUCUAUGCGACUACUGGCUUCUCCACCCCAGAGGUCGCUACAGACGUCGAAGACACUUCCCCCAAUGAUGACUUCUUUUAGGACAUCGGCAACCUCUUCGGUAACAAGGGCGACAGCAUCACGAAUGGCGCCGCCCCUGCUCCUGUCUAGGACGUGUUCACUUCUUCUCUAUUUAAUAUGUUUUUCCUAAUUUUAGUUCAAUUUCAUGUUCUAGCAAUUGGACUAGAUAUGCCAUGUUCAAAUUCACUACUACAUAUGUUAUUUUCUCACUCUCUGAUAGACUACAUGUCUAGUUUAAUCUUUACUAUUAUGUUUAAGUUUUAUCUACUAUUUUUAUGGAUUAAAUCAUAUGGUAAACUGCUCAUAUUCCCAACAGGCCCCAUCUACAUGUAUGGGUGUAACAAACACAUCAUAUGUGGUCAGUCUUCCUUCAUCAAAAUGUUCCAUGGCAAUCCAAUAGGAUUGAUGCCUCUAAUACCAAUUUUUAUUAGAAAAUAUAAGUUUAUUCAAUUAUUGGCAUCAGUAUACAACAUUGCAUUGCAUAAGCUAAGAAACUUUGUGGCUCUCAUUUUAAUAUGGAACCGAACUGUCUACAACAGCACUGAAGAUGAUGCUGGUUGGUUUCGCAUUCCAAUUGAUAAGGUGGGCGAAAGCCUCUUUCUAAGCAGUCACUCUGGCAAGACUCAUGAGUGCAACCCGCUAAAUCUCUGCAUGAGCGGCGUUGAACUACAAUGCAAUACAUCACAUAAAAAAAUUAGUAAUACAGUCCAUGAAAAAAUAUAUUUUCUCAUAGAUUAAUUAAUUUCAACAUUUGGAAACAGCAUGUAAAAUAUAAAUAGUGUUGCUUACUUGCUUGGCAGGACGGCAACGUUGAGAACAUGAACACAAUGACCAAUAAAGCAACAACUAUGUUGUCCAUGACCAUCCUUGUGUUUCUCUUGAUGAGUGCCAUGAGGAAAAAUGUGACUUAUGUUCAAUCUUUGUUUUUCAUUUCCAAGCUCCUUUACAGGUGUUUAUAUAGAUGCACAAUAAAAUCUUAGAUAUCAAUUGGUUGAUUUCAUGCAUUUAUG